AUUGAACGCUGGCGGCAGGCCUAACACAUGCAAGUCGAGCGGAUGAAGGGAGCUUGCUCCUGGAUUCAGCGGCGGACGGGUGAGUAAUGCCUAGGAAUCUGCCUGGUAGUGGGGGAUAACGUCCGGAAACGGGCGCUAAUACCGCAUACGUCCUGAGGGAGAAAGUGGGGGAUCUUCGGACCUCACGCUAUCAGAUGAGCCUAGGUCGGAUUAGCUAGUUGGUGGGGUAAAGGCCUACCAAGGCGACGAUCCGUAACUGGUCUGAGAGGAUGAUCAGUCAAAUUGGAACGGGAACCCGUUCAGAAUCCCAAGGGGAGGAAGAGUUGGGAAAUAUUGGACAAUGGGGGAAAGCUUGUUCCAGCCAGGCCGGUGGGUUGAAAAAGGCUUCCGAUUUGUAAAGCACUUAAAGUUGGAAGAAAGGCAAUAAGUUAAAACCUUGCUUUUUUGACGUUACCAACAGAAUAAGCACCGGCUAACUUCGUG
rnacentral:rRNA from 1 species